GGGCGGGUAGCUUAGCUAGGUUAGAGCGCCUGUCUUAUAAACAGGAGGUCGUGAGUUCAAAUCUCAUCCCGCCCACCA
rnacentral:tRNA from 1 species